AAGGCAAAGCCGCGAGGCAGAGCAAAACCCUAAAAAGUACGUCUCAGUUCGGAUUGCAGGCUGCAACUCGCCUGCAUGAAGUCGGAAUUGCUAGUAAUCGCAGAUCAGCAUGCUGCGGUGAAUACGUUCCCGGGCCUUGUACACACCGCCCGUCACACCAUGGGAGUCGGUAACACCCGAAGUCGGUAGUCUAACCGAAAGGAGGACGCCGCCGAAGGUGGGAUUGAUGACUGGGGUGAAGUCGUAACAAGGUACC
rnacentral:rRNA from 1 species